rnacentral:snRNA from 1 species
CAAAGCUAGCCCGACAGGCUGUGAUAUCUGUCACCCCAGUGAUCGCCAGGGUUGAUUUGGCUGAUCUUGCUGGCUAGGCAGAUGUCCCCUUCCUCCCUCACCGCUCCAUGUGCGUCCCUCCAGAAGCUGCACACUAGGUCGAAGAGGACAGCCUUCCCCGAAUAGAGAUGGACCGGUCUUCAGUCGAGGGUAUAAGAGUAGCUGCGCUCCCCUGCUAGAACCUCCAAACAAGCUCUCGAGAGAAGGAAAGCAAAAGAAAGCAGGUGCAUAGGCACCACGUAGGCUCU